rnacentral:rRNA from 1 species
UACGAAGGGGGCAAGCGUUGUUCGGAUUUACUGGGCGUAAAGCGUACGUAGGCGGAUCAUUAAGUCAGGGGUGAAAUCCCGGGGCUCAACCUCGGAACUGCCUUUGAUACUGGUGAUCUUGAGUCCGGGAGAGGUGAGUGGAACUCCUAGUGUAGAGGUGAAAUUCGUAGAUAUUAGGAAGAACACCAGUGGCGAAGGCGGCUCACUGGCCCGGAACUGACGCUGAGGUACGAAAGCGUGGGGAGCAAAC